rnacentral:misc_RNA from 1 species
AAAAAAAAAAAAAAAAAUCUCUCUCACUAAGAUGUUCUUUUAUGGAAACAACUCACCGAAUUUAUUGAAGGUUGCUGAAGUUUGAUUUCUUUAUUUUGUUGGGUGUGCAAAAGCAAUUUUCGAUGUUCACAAAAAUAGCUUCUUAGUGGAGAAGGCCGAAUGUUUGCUCAAUGGAACAUGAAAAAGCCUAUUUAUGAGAUAAUUUUGUGAUAUUGAACAUGUUUUUACUGCUAUUAGAGCCUUGGUGUUAGUAGCAAUUAAGAAUGUUCAAGCUGCAACUAAAAGUUCCGUAGGAAAAUGGUAGUGUAUAUAAUGGAAGAAAGUGUGUAAUUACUUAGCAAGAAAGUGAAAUCAUUUUUUUUUUUUUGAGAACAUAAUUUCCGCAUAGGAGAUGAUGACCAAAGGAGUUGGAAAUUACAAUGUGUGUUUUGAUAUGAAAGAUGUAUGUGCUAUAUUAAGGGCAAAGAUUAAUGGAACUAGGUAAUUGUAAUGUGUUUUGUUGGUUAUGUGAUUAUUCUGCUGCUACAUGUUGAACCAAUUUUAUAAAUUUUGGCAUAAUGAUCGAAUAGUAUAGUGGUUUUUUGUUUGUCACUUUGGCUAAGAACAAUUAGUCUUUAAAUUUGGUUUGAAUUAUGAAAGGAAUUUUCCUUUAUGUUGUCCCCAACAGUUAUUAAAUAUUUAUGUAUGUGAUAGAUACUCCUUUCAACACUCACCAUGGGCAUCAUUUGAAACUUUGUCAUAAGCCUUUUCUAGAUUAAUAACUAAAAAUAUAUGGGAAGUGACAACAAACUUAUCAUAUGAAAGUUUUGAGGAAAAAAUUUGAAAGGGAUGCAGAUUUCUCUCCUUUGGUCGACUUCCUUGUUUGACAUGAUUGGACUUUUGAAAGUUGUUUUCAUUUACGUUCGAAGGUGAAUUUAGUAUGAUUAAAAUAUUUCCCAGUUCCAUGUGUAACGUUGUAAACGUAAAACCUUUACUUUGUGACAUCAAGUUUUUCAUUUAUUUCUUGUCUGAGGGUUGCACAACGAUCAUAAAUGGUUGCGAGAAUAUUUGGCUGUGUUCUAAUAGUGAUCCAAGUGAUGUCUUCUCCUUCAGUUGCCUGAGUGAAUUUUUUUCUUGACAUUUUUUAGGGUGUACUUGAUGAUAUAGUCACUCUUCCUAGUAAUGUACUAUUCUGUAUGAGGGAUGGCAGGACAGUGUUGUUAUGGCAAGCGGCGACACUUAGGCAAUAUGGUUCCCUAUGGCCUUAGGUGAGAGGCAAGAGGCGAAGCGAGA